CAGUCGCCGCGGUAAUACGUAGGGUGCAAGCGUUAAUCGGAAUUACUGGGCGUAAAGCGUGCGUAGGCGGCUAAUUGAGUCGGAUGUGAAAUCCCCGAGCUUAACUUGGGAAUUGCAUUCGAUACUGGUUAGCUAGAGUGUGGGAGAGGAUGGUAGAAUUCCAGGUGUAGCGGUGAAAUGCGUAGAGAUCUGGAGGAAUACCGAUGGCGAAGGCAGCCAUCUGGCCUAAUACUGACGCUGAGGUACGAAAGCAUGGGGAGCAAACAGGAUUAGAUACCCCCGUAGUCCCUGUCUCUUAUAC
rnacentral:rRNA from 1 species